CAACUUUCAACAACGGAUCUCUUGGUUCUGGCAUCGAUGAAGAACGCAGCGAAAUGCGAUAAGUAGUGUGAAUUGCAGAAUUCAGUGAAUCAUCGAAUCUUUGAACGCACAUUGCGCCCCUUGGUAUUCCAUGGGGCAUGCCUGUUCGAGCGUCAUUU
rnacentral:rRNA from 274 species